GACGAACGCUGGCGGCGUGCCUAAUACAUGCAAGUAGAACGCUGAAGGAGGAGCUUGCUUCUCUGGAUGAGUUGCGAACGGGUGAGUAACGCGUAGGUAACCUGCCUGGUAGCGGGGGAUAACUGUUGGAAACGAUAGCUAAUACCGCAUAAGAGUAGAUGUUGCAUGACAUUUGCUUAAAAGGUGCAAUUGCAUCACUACCAGAUGGACCUGCGUUGUAUUAGCUAGUUGGUGGGGUAACGGCUCACCAAGGCGACGAUACAUAGCCGACCUGAGAGGGUGAUCGGCCACACUGGGACUGAGACACGGCCCAGACUCCUACGGGAGGCAGCAGUAGGGAAUCUUCGGCAAUGGACGGAAGUCUGACCGAGCAACGCCGCGUGAGUGAAGAAGGUUUUCGGAUCGUAAAGCUCUGUUGUAAGAGAAGAACGAGUGUGAGAGUGGAAAGUUCACACUGUGACGGUAUCUUACCAGAAAGGGACGGCUAACUACGUGCCAGCAGCCGCGGUAAUACGUAGGUGGCAAGCGUUAUCCGGAUUUAUUGGGCGUAAAGAGAGUGCAGGCGGUUUUCUAAGUCUGAUGUGAAAGCCUUCGGCUUAACCGGAGAAGUGCAUCGGAAACUGGAUAACUUGAGUGCAGAAGAGGGUAGUGGAACUCCAUGUGUAGCGGUGGAAUGCGUAGAUAUAUGGAAGAACACCAGUGGCGAAGCGGCUACCUGGUCUGCAACUGACGCUGAGACUCGAAAGCAUGGGGUAGCGAACAGG
rnacentral:rRNA from 1 species